UGAGGAAUAUUGGUCAAUGGGCGGGAGCCUGAACCAGCCAAGUCGCGUGAGGGAAGACGGUCCUAUGGAUUGUAAACCUCUUUUUGUCGGGGAGCAAAGAGGCCACGUGUGGUCAAAAGCGAGAGUACCCGAAGAAAAAGCAUCGGCUAACUCCGUGCC
rnacentral:rRNA from 1 species